UGCAUGGCGGCAGCUACACAUGCAGUCGAGCGGUAGCACAGAGAGCUUGCUCUCGGGUGACGAGCGGCGGACGGGUGAGUAAUGUCUGGGAAACUGCCUGAUGGAGGGGGAUAACUACUGGAAACGGUAGCUAAUACCGCAUAACGUCGCAAGACCAAAGUGGGGGACCUUCGGGCCUCAUGCCAUCAGAUGUGCCCMGACUKGGAUUAGCUCGKUAGGUGUGGGUUAACGGCUCACCUAGGCGACGAUCCCUAGCUGGUCUGAGAGGAUGAYCAGSCACACUGGAACUGAGACACGGUYCAGACUCCUACGGGAGGCAGCAGUGGGGCAWUAUUUGCACAAUGGGCGCAAGSCUGAUGCARSCAUGCCGCGUGUGUUGAAGAAGGCCUUCGGGUUGUWAAGCACUUUCAGCGGGGAGGAAGGCGRUGAGGUUAAUAACCUYAUCGAUUGACGUUACCCGCAGAAGAAGCACCGGCUAACUCCGUGCCAGCAGCCGCGGUAAUACGGAGGGUGCAAGCGUUAAUCGGAAUUACUGGGCGUAAAGCGCACGCAGGCGGUCUGUCAAGUCGGAUGUGAAAUCCCCGGGCUCAACCUGGGAACUGCAUUCGAAACUGGCAGGCUAGAGUCUUGUAGAGGGGGGUAGAAUUCCAGGUGUAGCGGUGAAAUGCGUAGAGAUCUGGAGGAAUACCGGUGGCGAAGGCGGCCCCCUGGACAAAGACUGACGCUCAGGUGCGAAAGCGUGGGGAGCAAACAGGAUUAGAUACCCUGGUAGUCCACGCUGUAAACGAUGUCGAUUUGGAGGUUGUGCCCUUGAGGCGUGGCUUCCGGAGCUAACGCGUUAAAUCGACCGCCUGGGGAGUACGGCCGCAAGGUUAAAACUCAAAUGAAUUGACGGGGGCCCGCACAAGCGGUGGAGCAUGUGGUUUAAUUCGAUGCAACGCGAAGAACCUUACCUGGUCUUGACAUCCACAGAACUUUUCCAGAGAUGGAUUGGUGCCUUCGGGAACUGUGAGACAGRUGCUGCAUGGCUGUCGUCAGCUCGUGYUGUGAAAUGUKGGGUWAAGUCCCGCAACGAGCGCAACCCUUAUYCWUUGUUGCCAGCGGUYAKGCCGGGAMCUCAAAGGAAURACUGCCAGUGGAUAAMCUGRAGGAAGGUGGGGGAAUGGASSUCARGUCAUCAUGGSCCUGUACGAMCARGGCUACMCACSUGCUAACAWUGGCMUAUASMAAGAGGAWGCGASCUYGCSRKAGCAGGAGCRGACYUCRKMWAGUAWGUCGUAGUCCGGAUUGGAGUCUGCAACUCGACUCCAUGAAGUCGGAAUCGCUAGUAAUCGUAGAUCAGAAUGCUACGGUGAAUACGUUCCCGGGCCUUGUACACACCGCCCGUCACACCAUGGGAGUGGGUUGCAAAAGAAGUAGGUAGCUUAACCUUCGGGAGGGCGCUACCACUUGAUCUGCCU
rnacentral:rRNA from 1 species